GAACGCUAGCGGCAGGCUUAACACAUGCAAGUCGAGGGGCAGCGUGGAGCAGCAAUGCUCUGACGGCGACCGGCGGAAGGGUGCGUAACACGUGAGCGACUUGCCCGUCACAGGGGGAUAACCGGCGGAAACGGCGACUAAUACCCCCAUACGAUGCGAUGCUGCAUGGCAUUGCAUUGAAAGAUUCAUCGGUGGCGGAUAGGCUCGCGGGACAUUAGCUAGACGGCGGGGCAACGGCCCACCGUGGCGACGAUGUCUAGGGGUUCUGAGAGGAAGGCCCCCCACACUGGGACUGAGACACGGCCCAGACUCCUACGGGAGGCAGCAGUGAGGAAUAUUGGUCAAUGGGCGGAAGCCUGAACCAGCCAUGCCGCGUGAAGGACUAAGGCCCUACGGGUCGUAAACUUCUUUAGACGCAGAGCAAUAAGGUCCACGUGUGGACCGAUGAGAGUAUGCGUAGAAUAAGCAUCGGCUAACUCCGUG
rnacentral:rRNA from 1 species